CUUGGUCAUUUAGAGGAAGUAAAAGUCGUAACAAGGUCUCCGUUGGUGAACCAGCGGAGGGAUCAUUACCGAGUCACGCGCUCAAACAACCCUUCUGUGGACCUGAAUUAAACCGUUGCCUCGGCGGGCGGUCCCCUGCCAAAAACCCACGUGGUGUAGGCAGGGGACCAGACAGUCCGGUACGCUUAAGGCGUUCGGCGCCAGCCGCUGGCCCUAAAUAAUUAAACUCUAGUAACCUUACCUUCUGAGUUUUAAUGCAAAAAAAUAAGUCAAAACUUUCAACAACGGAUCUCUUGGCUCUGGCAUCGAUGAAGAACGCAGCGAAAUGCGAUAAGUAAUGUGAAUUGCAGAAUUCAGUGAAUCAUCGAAUCUUUGAACGCACAUUGCGCCCGCUGGUAUUCCAGCGGGCAUGCCCGUUCGAGCGUCAUUUUAAUCCCUUCCCGGGAGGCUCUUCUAUUCUGUAGUGGAGUGUCCACGGGGCGUUGGCACUGGGCGCCUUGUUUUUUUUAGGCGGCCGGAGCUGAAAUGAAGCGGCGGACUCGCGGCGGCCCCUAGCGCAGUAGAACAACCCUUCUCGCUUAGGAGAGCUGUAGCGGUGGACCACAGCCCUUACAUGCUUUUUUUUUUUUUAAAAAAAAAGCUACAUCUAAAAACUUGACCUCGGAUCGGGUAGGACUACCCGCUGAACUUAAGCAUAUCAAUAAGCGGAGGAAAAGAAACCAACAGGGAUUGCCUUAGUAACGGCGAGUGAAGCGGCAACAGCUCAGAUUUGAAAUCUGGCCUUCGGGUCCGAGUUGUAAUCUGUAGAGGAUGCUUCGGGUGAGGUGCCUUCCGAGUGCCCUGGAACGGGACGCCAGAGAGGGUGAGAGCCCCGUACGGUUGGAUACCAAGCCUAUGUGAAGCUCCUUCGACGAGUCGAGUUGUUUGGGAAU
rnacentral:misc_RNA from 1 species